CCCGCCGGGAAUAGUGUCAUGGCAGAGCAACGACCCUUUUCCCUUCAGCAGGGAGAGAGGGUUCACCCCUGGACAACGCCUGGGCUCUGUUAGGGUGCAGGGAGGCCUCUCAGAACCUCCCACUGUCAGGAACAUGUUAGGGGCAUCUGCAUAGGGAGAAGCUGCAAGUCCAUUUCUACUCCGGGGACUGAGGCCUCCGGGUAGAGCAGGAGGAGAGGCCUAAGGUUGGGGGGGGGGAGAGGAGCUGGAAGGAAGCUGGGGUGCGGCUGUGGGUGAGGAGAUGCCAGGAAGGCGGCCUAGCACAUCCUGGGCUGAGGCCUUGGUGGCCUAACCAGCCUAAGUCAGGCCCUGCCUGGGGCCACUCUCUGAGGACACGGGUCACAGGGUUUUCUUUAACAUCUAGAACUGGGCCUGGCUGCCACAGUGAACUGUACUCCAUGAAUAAACGAAGGACAGACUUUUUUUUUCAGGUGGGCUUAACACCUAGCAUCUUUAACCAACGUGCAGAUUUCCUUAUCAGCUUUCACUCCAUGGACAACAUGCUUCUCAACCAAACAUGUCAGCUGUAUGAAUCCAGAGGCAGGCCCAGACAUGUCUGGAGGCACACCCGUGCCCACGGGCACACAUGGAUACGUGCGCCUAUGAGCCGGCCGGUUCAAGCAGGCAGCACUUUGGAAAGACACUCACUGCCAAUAAAAGGAUCAUUUCUUUCAGAGACAUCAGAGACUUCAGAAGAGAGGUCAAGAAAAGCCCGAGGCUCAGCUAGGGACAUUUUGUGUUUGUUGUGUCUGCGCUUAGUUACCUGAGCGGCAGGAGAGUGUCUCCUCCCGGAUCCAUUCACCUCUGACCUGCUAUCCACAAGAAAACCAACACCCACAAGUUGUCUGGUUUUGGAACCAGCAGUUGGGAGUAGGAGUCCCUUUACACUUUGCCAGCUCUCCAAGGAGACCAGGGCCCAAGCAGCACAGGGAACCCACGGCCCGCCACCCUCUUGGGUAGUCAGGAGUCCUCCACCUGCCCAGAAGGACUUAAAUCUGAGUCCUCUCUCCAGGCUUAAUGUUCAGGAAAUACACAACAUAGGAGCGGAUCCUGAAGAGCUUAAGCCAGUCCCGAGAGCCCCAGAUCCUCCAGCCACAGAAGGCUUUUCACAUAUACCGCAGAGAGCUCCCUGCCCUCCUUCUGGAACCUGUCACAACAGCAGCUGCUUUCACAGAUGUCCUGGUCCUCUGAACUGUGUCUUCUGAAGAUGCCAGGACCCUAGCACCGCCCCCAUCAGACCGCCCCACUUCCCUUCACCUCUGAGCUCAGCAUUCUUGCAGGAGACAGCGGCCACUCCAACAGAACCACGUAAUGUGUCCCUCGUCUGUCCCAGCAGCUGGCUGCUUGUCCCUACAGUCCACACGCUCUCAAGAAUUCUUCCUCUUCCUGACUCCAUCUUGGUGUUAGUACCUGGUCAGGCUGCAAGUCAGCCACCGUGACCCCUUCAGGUGGAACACAAGGCAAUUCCAGGACCACACAGCAGAGGGCAGCAAGGGCAGCAAACAUAACACAGUCAAGCAGGCAGGGCAGGGACAGCUGGUCCCCGCGCACAGCAGAGGAGGCCUGAGACCGCGCCUCUGACCCACACCUGCCACCCCCCCCCCCAGGUGAGGAGUCUAUAGCUCAGGAUCUGAAGGGAUGGGGGCGGGCGUCUGCCAUGGCCACUACGAAACCUGUCCUUAAGAAACUGUUCAAAAUAAAGCAGUCAACUAGCUUUCUGGACACAGGGUUCACUUCCUCUUCAACCCUCCGGAGCACAAACUGCCUGGCAUGCUGGAUAAAGUUGGCUAUCGCGGGGAGAUUUUUGUCUGCUUCGCUUUGAGGCCUCCCUGCCCUCCCCGCCUCACACCACCGCUGCCGGCUGGAGCGGCGACACUCAUGGAGGUGCAGGGCUUGGGUUCAAAGCCCAGUUUGGCCACUUCACAACCAGGCAGCCCGGGGAGGCCACGACCCGGCCCUUCCACGUGCCUUGAUUUCCUCAUCCGUCAAGCGCCCUCCCGCCUCACACAGCAGAGUGGAGAAUGAAAACGUCAUGUGCCCACAGCCCCUGAUAUACACAAAGCCCCUGAUAAAUGCAAGUCCCUACUCUGUGACCUUCGAGUAAAUAAAUAACAGAAUGCUUGGGCGUGUGAUGAAUGUCACACUCCAAGCAUCCCGCAGGGCUGAUUUAGCCGUCCCAGAGGACACAGGGCCGGGGCUGAUGACGGCUCCCGAGACUAAACAGUGAACGCUUCAUCAGACCUCUGACCCCAGGGGGUGACCCUCCCAUCAAUCUCCCCAGUCCAGAGAGGGCAGAUGACCGGACACACAUUCAUCAUGGACCACCCACCGCUGCUGUUUGUUCUGUAGCUUUUAGUAGAACAGUUGCAACUCUGAACUUCUUCCCUGGAAUAUUUUGUGAUAAAAAGCAAUCUUAUAAAUAAAAAAAGUCAAAUGUGA